ACAUGGCAGCUGUUACUGAUGGAGAGACACCUGCCUCUUGAAGUGCAUGGCCAGGGACUGACCCUGCGCUCACCUAGUCUAUAAGAUCUAGAUCCCGGGAGUCGGGCGGUAGCAUAGCAGGUUAAGCACACGUGGCGCAAAAUGCAAGGACCAGCAUAAGGAUCCCAGUUCAAGCCCCCAGCUCCACACCUGCAGGAGAGUCACUUCACAAGCCGCGAAGCAGGUGAACAUACACUCUUCAUGAAGUAGUGAACCCAGAUCCUUACACGUGUAUGAUUAUUGCUGAGCAGCCUCUGAGAUGCAAGUCAUUUUUUUUUCUGAGAGAGGAAGAAAGAUCUAGGGAGAAGGAGAGAUAAGAAGAGACACAAUCCACCAUCCAUGGAACUUCCCCAGUGUCAUCCAUGGUACUCCCCCAAGUGGUGUCAGGGUUUGGACCCAGAGUCGAAUGCAUAGCAUCCCACCAGCCUGGGGAAGUCGCCCUACUCCGCGCCAUCUUCCUGCCUGAAUUCUGUUCAUCCCUUGAGACUCGACCUGCGUACCAGCUCUUCCAGAAAAUUUCUC